CCCCAGGCAUACCUGGCACGAACUGUACACCAACGCCAUUUUCAUAUGUAAUUCCGAUACGUAGUUCCGGUUUCUUCUCCGACUGUUCGGGUUCUGGCAUUGCCGGCAUUACCGCGUGGCCGACAUGGCUAAAUUUCUACAAGGCUGCGUCCAGAAACAACGGCCGGCUGCAAGCAGAUAGCAUUCUAUCCGUAAUUGUUCGGUAAAUAAAAGAAGGAUAAAAUGAUAUACCUAUUGUUUCUGGACGCAGCCCUGGAUUGCUCACGCAAUCAGUGCUUUCCUGUGCUUUUCUGUAUCUGUGCUGACGCGAAGAAAGAUCGAAGAGGCCGGUCGGACAAAAAAUCACUUUUAUUAAGAUCCUGCAGAUCUUCAACGAAGUGCUGAAGCCUAUCUGGGUGCAGCCCUUGAUUGCUGACGCAAUCUGUGCUCACUCGAGGAGAUAUCGAAGAGGCAUAUCGGAAGAAAACCUAUCUGGUCCAGGAUUGCUGACGCAAUCAGUGUUUUCCUUUUAUCUGUGCUGACUCAAAGAGAAAUCGAAGAGGCCGGUCCAAAUAAAAAUCAGUUUUAUUAAGAUAAAAAAUAUUAAAUAUUUUUGAAUAUAGAUAUAUUUUUUCAAACUUGGCGACAAUUUAGUGUUGCUACAGCGUUAUGGAUCUCCUUUUAAGAAUUGCAACCUUAUAUUAUAAUUUAUAUGCAUAAUUUACAUGAUUUUAUGCACGCACGCACGCACGCGCGCACGCACGAACGCACGCACAAAUACAUUUUCUGAUAUAUAUACUGUUCUUAAAAAUGUUGAUGUUAAAAUACUAAAUUUAUAAGAUUUUGUGUGCAUUUCCGAUAUGUUUGUUAUCUCUAUUGCAUUUUGCAAUAAUGUACAUGCGCAACAAGUUUAUGUAAAUUUAAAAUAAAUUUUAUUUACUUGAUA
rnacentral:lncRNA from 13 species